rnacentral:rRNA from 1 species
AUUGAACGCUGGCGGCAUGCCUUACACAUGCAAGUCGAACGGCAGCGCGGGAGCAAUCCUGGCGGCGAGUGGCGAACGGGUGAGUAAUAUAUCGGAACGUGCCCAGUAGUGGGGGAUAGCCCGGCGAAAGCCGGAUUAAUACCGCAUGAGACCUGAGGGUGAAAGUGGGGGAUCGCAAGACCUCGCGCUACUGGAGCGGCCGAUAUCAGAUUAGCUAGUUGGUGGGGUAAAGGCCUACCAAGGCAACGAUCUGUAGUUGGUCUGAGAGGACGACCAGCCACACUGGGACUGAGACACGGCCCAGACUCCUACGGGAGGCAGCAGUGGGGAAUUUUGGACAAUGGGCGCAAGCCUGAUCCAGCAAUGCCGCGUGCAGGAAGAAGGCCUCGGUU